rnacentral:pre_miRNA from 1 species
GCGCACUGCAACUAUGAGUUUUUUUUGUCCAGAUUUGAUUGUCCGUUUUAUUUGAAAUUUUUUUAUGAUUAGUAUUGUGUUGUUAUUAGAUGAUAAAUAAGACGAACAAUUUAAGUUAGACAUUAAAACUAAUGAUGUCAAUUAAA